ACGACUAACAAGGGAUAUUGUUUAAAGUCUCCCUGGUGGGUGGGGGAUAUAUAUGUGCUGCUUAUUUGACCAAAACCAUGGACGGCCUUAAUUAAUUAUUUGUACAGGCCCAAUCACUUAAAUGUGCCAACAAUUUUGUUGUGAUUGAAUUUCAUUUUAUACACAAAAUCAAAAAGUUUAGCCCAAUUUCUAAAGCACUUUGAGUCAAGUAAUCAAUGUCGCAUUGCCCACUCCACUAGUAGUUGAAUUUUCUUUGAAUGACCCU
rnacentral:lncRNA from 1 species